CGAGCGAUCCUCUCCAGUGGGGGCGAGGGGUGCCUCCUGCCUGCUGGCCGCCCGGGGCUGGCGGGACGGGAAGCUGCGAAGUGGCUGCCGCGGCAGGCUCCCGGUCCGCCGGAGGCGAGCCGGGCCAGGGCAGCGCCGGGGAGUUCCCCGAGAGCCAGUAGAAGGGAAGAGGGGACGGAGGCGGGCACCCCCCAGGCACAGCCAGCGGGCGCCUCCCCGAGUCACCAGAGCUCCCCCGGCCCCUCUCAGCCCGUGCAGCUGCCCCCGGCUCCAGCCCCUCCCCUGAAGCCUGUGCUGUAGCUGCAGGCAUCCCCCGAGCCCUGUUGUGAGGGCUGCAAGCUGGCCCUCCGGUGUUCUCGAGUCUCCCUUGACAGGCCAUGCUGUGGGUGCGGUUGUCCGUUCGUCCCCUGGGGAUGCCGUUGACUGCAGUAGCCUCAGGCUUGUGUGGGCUGUCUCUGCCUGGCCUCCCUCUCCUCGUGGUGCAGGAGCACAGAGGGACAGGUGGAGCACUUACUGGCUGUGGGCAGGAGCUGCUGAAGCUGGAGAGGCCACAGAAAGGUAAAGCUGCUGAAGAAUAAAAUAAAGAAGAUCCAGGCAGCAGCUGCAGACAGGAGAUAGCCUGCCUCUCCAGGUGGAUGAUAGUCAAGUGACUGCAGCUACAGAGGAGGAAAGGAGAGGGAGAGAGAGACAGACAUGUCUGAACUGUCAAAUUCUCCCAGCAGCUCCAAGAGGGGGAGGUACAGUGAGUCCUGGACCCCUGGGGCUGUGUCACCCCUCUUCUGCAUCCCAGUCCCUCCCUGCCCCCACCUUCUCUUUCUCUCACUGCUUUAAUUUUUUUGGUUUUUCUUCUUGCACCUCUCCCUCUCUUGUUCUUCAAGUCCCCGUCUUUCUCUGUUGUUCUGCCUCUCUGUUUUCUUUUUCUCUCUGCACUUCUGUCCUGUCCCGUCCCUCUUUUUUUUUAUCCUCUGUCUCUGCCCUGCAGCCCAUCACUACUUUGUCUUUCUCCAUCGAUCUGUCUGUCUUCUUAUCCCAAUCUUAAUUCCUCCCUGUCUGCCCUUUAGCCCUUCACAAUUCCCACUGUUCUCACCUGUCUGACGCUGUGUCUCUAUUUUUAAAUUCCUUUCUC